GGACGCCAGUUGACUGUGGCGCGAUUGCGGAUGUUCUGAGCACGGCUGGCGUAGUUUAGGGUGUUGAGGGUCUCAUCGAAGUCGGAGGAGGAGGGGCUGACGCAGGCGAUCAUCACUGUCUUGGCAUUCCCUCCCAGAGAGUCUUUGAGGAUCCUGUGAGCACGAGGAUGAUAAGCGUCAGUGCCUUGGCUCUUGUGAGCACUGACCUGGCACCAUCGGCCUAGGUUUAAAGCCACCUUUCCUGGGGGGCUCCAUGAUCCCACCCGAACCCAGAGAGAUGGGCCAUCUCACCGGGUGAUCUUGGAAUCACGGUAAGGGAUGUGGCUGCCUCGGCGCUGGGGGUCCCCCAGGGCGCUAAUGACAUUUCCCAGCGCCAGCAGGGUGCUGUUAAUCUGGAUGCUCUCUUUGAGCCGUUCUCCGGUGCUGCCGGUCUUCAGAACCCUCUCGGAGCCUGCCAGGUCCACGAAGUGGAAUUUGGAGACCAGCAGGUGGCCAGCGGCGGGUCGAGGCAAGCGGCUAGGAGUCCGUCCCCGCUGCUCCAGGGUCACAGUGAAGACUGUGUGUGAGCGGCUGGAGAGGCGGUUGAAGUGUGUGGCGCCUGUGUGGCGCGCAGCAUUGCCCAUCUCUAGGAGGCUCAGCACCUCGUCCAGGCCUUCUACAUCCACUUCUUUCACCCCACAGAGCACUGUGGAAACAACACUGGAGGCUGGGGAGAUACCACAGUGUCUCCUGCCGCCAUGCCCCACCCCAACCUGGCCCAAGUAUCCACCACCACCACCACAGCAGCAGCAGCAGCUUGAGAAUGAGGCUGUAGCGUGGAGAAGACAAUGACAGAGGCCAAGGAGAGACAGCCUCUGCUAGGCCGUGCUCCAGGAUAGGGAAGCAGAAUUGGAGACUUCAAGCAACCUCUCAUGGUUUAAUCAACCGCUUUCCUGAUGCGCCCUCCUUAUCCCAUUCCCAACAGAUUAUCAGAUACCCUGGACUUGAUUACUCCUUGGGACAAGUAAGUCACUACCACGGCCCAUGCACAGCUAACUGAUGGGCCUCUUAAUUUGCUUCAAAAGUAGAGUGUUCAUCCUAAUAUCCCAUAGUAAAGUUUGCUUAAAUAUACUUGCAACAGAAUGCCAGGAAGUUAUCAAAUAAAAAAGACUGGAAGACUAGGGGUGUAGCUUCACGGCAGAGCACUUGCCUAACAUAUGAGCACCCAAGUUCAAUAUACAGCAACACACACACACACACACAUGACUGAAGAAUAGUUAAUGAUAAAUGUUCCUUAUCGUACAUAUCAUCACAUAUACGGUCUUUAUCGCUAUCCCCAAUUCAAAGUAGACGGCUCCACAUAUUAAAUCAAAAACUAAAGUAAUAUUUUAUAGCAAGAAAAUUUCAGAUGCCGACAGGUGUUGUGGUGCAUAAACCAUGAACAUUUAAAAUUAAAUAUUGUUCAUUUG